UACGGGGGGGGGCAAGCGUUGUUCGGAAUUACUGGGCGUAAAGGGCCAGUAGGCGGCCAACUAAGUCGGAUGUGAAAUCCCCAGGCUCAACCUGGGAACUGCAUCCGAUACUGGAUGGCUUGAAUUCGGGAGAGGGAUGCAGAAUUCCAGGUGUAGCGGUGAAAUGCGUAGAUAUCGGGAGGAACACCGGUGGCGAAGGCGGCGAUCUGGGUAGAUACUGACGCUGAGGUGCGAAAGCGUGGGGAGCAAACAGG
rnacentral:rRNA from 1 species